rnacentral:rRNA from 1 species
CAGUCGCCGCGGGAAUACGGAGGGAGCUAGCGUUAUUCGGAAUUACUGGGCGUAAAGCGCACGUAGGCGGCUUUGUAAGUAAGAGGUGAAAGCCCGGGGCUCAACCCCGGAAUUGCCUUUUAGACUGCAUCGCUUGAAUCAUGGAGAGGUCAGUGGAAUUCCGAGUGUAGAGGUGAAAUUCGUAGAUAUUCGGAAGAACACCAGUGGCGAAGGCGGCUGACUGGACAUGUAUUGACGCUGAGGUGCGAAAGCGUGGGGAUCAAACAGGAUUAGAUACCCGCGUAGUCCCUGUCUCUUAUAC